rnacentral:rRNA from 1 species
CCUACGGGAGGCAGCAGUAAGGAAUAUUGGUCAAUGGGCGCAAGCCUGAACCAGCCAUGCCGCGUGCAGGAAGACGGCCCUACGGGUUGUAAACUGCUUUUGUACCGGAAUAAACCCUUUUACGUGUAAGAGGCUGAAUGUACGGUAAGAAUAAGGAUCGGCUAACUCCGUGCCAGCAGCCGCGGUAAUACGGAGGAUCCAAGCGUUAUCCGGAUUUAUUGGGUUUAAAGGGUGCGUAGGCGGCUUUUUAAGUCAGGGGUGAAAGACGGUAGCUUAACUAUCGCAGUGCCUUUGAUACUGAAGAGCUUGAAUGAACUAGAGGUAGGCGGAAUGUGACAAGUAGCGGUGAAAUGCAUAGAUAUGUCACAGAACACCAAUUGCGAAGGCAGCUUACUAUGGUUUUAUUGACACUGAGGCACGAAAGCGUGGGGAUCAAACAGGAUUAGAUACCCUGGUAGUCCACGCCCUAAACGAUGAAUACUCGAUGUUGGCGAUAUACGGUCAGCGUCUAAGCGAAAAGCGUUAAGUAUUCCACCUGGGGAGUACGCCCGCAAGGGUGAAACUCAAAUGAAUUGACGG